rnacentral:rRNA from 1 species
UACGUAGGGGGCUAGGCGUUGUCCGGAUUUAUUGGGCGUAAAGAGCGUGUAGGCGGCCAGGUAGGUCCGUUGUGAAAACUCGAGGCUCAACCUCGAGACGUCGGCGGAAACCCCUCUGGCUAGAGUCCGGAAGAGGAGAGUGGAAUUCCUGGUGUAGCGGUGAAAUGCGCAGAUAUCAGGAAGAACACCCGUGGCGAAGGCGGCGAUCUGGGUAGAUACUGACGCUGAGGUGCGAAAGCGUGGGGAGCAAACAGG